GAACAAGGGAACAAGCCCCCCGUCUGAUUGGUCCGCUGCCGCGGGGCGGGGAAUAUAAACCGGGCCCCCGGAAUUGCUGCCUCUCGGCCAGGAGGAACCGGGGGCUGGCGCUGGGCCGGGUCGCGCAGGUGGAAGGGGCAGUGACCUGAAUGUUUGCUUCCUUUCCUCUUGCCUGGAGGAGAUGAGAUCUCUGGGGGAUCUUGCUGGGAAAUGCAUCUGAGUUACUGUGUGACCUUCUAGACAAACUUUACUUUCCUGUCAAUUUCUCACUUUGUUAGAAAAAGCAAAAACAAGGGGAAUAAAUGGUUUUCUGGGGUCUCUGGUUUUCCAAUAAAAGCUUCCACUUAAUCACAA